GCUGCCUUCAGGUACCCUCAGAUAUGUUGUUGUUACUUAAGUCCCCGUGCGGCAAAAGGUGAGAUAAGGUUGGAUGGGUUUCGAUUUCUAAACAUAGAAACACCGCGAUAAAACAGCACAUCUCAGAGCACAGUUGUUUGAUUUUAUUUAGCAACGGAAUGCGCAACAAGACGUAUUUACACACUGGAAAUCUGAAAUUGGAGCACUAGAGGAACAUUUGAAUGCAGCAACAGUGACAACUACGUAAAAAAUGCAGCGUUGGAACCAGGGGCAGAGCCAGAUGUUGUAAACAUUCGGAGCUUAGCCCAAACCAAAGGGGACUACAAUCUCGUUUUUAUUUAAUUGUUCUCCCGCUGCAAUCCAAAACAAAACAAAUGUUGAGGAUCACUCAUUUUCACUCCUGGCAACUAAAAAGAGCUACGAGACAGGUCCUGCAACAUCGACUCCCUUGAAGAGAAAACCUUUGCAAGUCCCAGCUCCAGCAUUGUCUAGCAUUGGUGCUUCUAGUGGAACAGACCGAGAUGAGAAUCUUGAUGUCAUUCCAGAAGCCAACGAAAUUCAGGGCCUUGAACAAAGCUUACAUGACUUGAGCAUUGUUGAGGAGGACUUGGAGGAAAAUGUUUUCAAUGACCCAAUGAACAGUGUAUUUUUGUGCCUGAAUAGAAUGGGUGGAGCACUGAAGAAAGCACACUCUAUCGAUGGACUUCCUUGCCUGGGUCUGUACUAAUGGACACAGCUUGUGGAAUUCCCAGCCUGUGAUGAAGUUUGGGAUGCAAGCUGGAGAUUUUCUCUUGUCCACCAACAUUUUGUUGUCUGUCAACAACUACGCAAAGGUUGGCCUCUUGUUCAAAUUCAUGAACACGGGGAUGGUGAACAGAAACACUUUCUUCUCCAUUCAGGACACUUACUGCGUCAAUACAAUAAAGGACUUCUGGGAAGAGAGAAGGACAGAGGUUCUUUGUGGCCUUCAAGGGAAAGAUGUUGUUGUCCUAGAAAUGACUCUCCUGGUCACUGUGCACAAUACUGCAGCUACACCACCAUGGAGAAUGACACCAAGGAGAUCAUUCAUGUUGCCACCAUAGACAAGCGGCAAACAUCAUGGAACUCUGUCAUCAUGGAGAAGGAGGGUUUCAUCCAGAUUGGACAAGCUUACAUCAGAAAUAAAGCUAGUGGAGAUCUGCACAGAUGCUCAUGCCCAGAUUGGUGCCCUUAUGAACCCAGACAAAGGCAAAUACAAGGCCCUUGGAAUUCAUCACAGUCUGGACAUGUGGCAUGGUGCGAUGAACUUUGCCAAAAAAAUAGCAGCACUUUAGUGGAUAUAGUUCUCGAUAAGAGGUGGCAGAAAGAUGUUCACAACUAUCUGCGAAUCAGAUCGACUGCAGACCUAGAGUCAAUCCAGAAUCAUAUCCUGAUGUAUGCCAGCAAGCGCUAAGAGUUCUGCUUGCUGCUUUGGACUAAAGUUUCCACCGGAACCGACCAACAAUGAAAACGUUGGACGGCAAAGAGAUAAGAUACAGCGUAUAUGCCUUGAAAUCUGAAAAAACCUACGGAUACAUUUCCAAGUUGCAAAGAAGGAUUGUGAAGAACACACUCACAAGUGGAGUGGGGAUGCCUAGAAGGAGGAGCCUUCUCCCAGAUGACCCCAGACAGCUUGGUUUGGUGCCCCCCCGUACCUGCACCAGCCACAUCAGAUUUGUUGUUGUUGAGACAAGUCAGAAGAGGUCUAUGUAAGUUACACAAAUUUGUUGCCUAUGUUGUACCAUAUUACAUGUCACUGAAUGAUAGUUACAGACUAUGUUGUAAUGUAAAUAUGUUUGAUGUCUUCAACAGGACCGUUUAUUCCAACCAGCAUCUGAUAUAUAUAUAUAUAUAAAGUUACUUAGUAAGUUGUCCGUCAGGCAGACAUGUGCAGUGUAGGUCACAGUGUGUCCGUUAAGUCUGCUGGAAAAGUGAAGGCGGUUAGCGCUAGCUAACAGAUCCCCGGUCUGUAAAGCACGGUUUUGGCUGCAGUGUAACGUUAGCGAAAUUAGUAACGGAGUAAUGUUAAUUAGUUGCGUGUCAUUACUACAUAACUUAUUGAGGAAUGAGAACAGCAGGUUGAAGCUAAACAGGUGUCCUGUACACAUACUGUACAUCCUGAUAGUUAAGUUAAAUUAUAUUUCAGUGUCCAGAGGACAACUGGUUAUUAAAGGAAGGACGCUGGUGACCACGGAGGAGCUGAGGCUACUAAAGUAAAUCAGGGAUGUAAACUAGUCCUUUUAAGCAAUUGAGGAGACAUUUCUUUUGGAUUUUAAUGUGUAAACGAAAUGCUUAGUAGUUAUCCAGAAUUUUCACAAGAUGGAUCACCGCCCUCUGAAUUGUAAUCAAAUCGAAUCGUGAGGUGCCAAAAGAUUCUCAUUCCUACUGCCCAAACAGUGUUCCCAUUCAAUUACUUUAAAAUGUCUUUUAAUAGUCUACGUUUUGUGAAGUGGUUGUCUUUAAUUGUCCACUGCAUCUGUUAGGGCCUGUCCAUAGGCUCGCCAUUCAUCUGUGACAACAUC